GACGAACGCUGGCGGCGUGCUUAACACAUGCAAGUCGAACGGUAAGGCCCUUCGGGGUACACGAGUGGCGAACGGGUGAGUAACACGUGGGUGAUCUGCCCUGCACUUCGGGAUAAGCCUGGGAAACUGGGUCUAAUACCGGAUAGGACUCCGGACUGCAUGGUCUGGGGUGGAAAGCUUUUGCGGUGUGGGAUGGGCCCGCGGCCUAUCAGCUUGUUGGUGGGGUGAUGGCCUACCAAGGCGACGACGGGUAGCCGGCCUGAAAGGGUGACCGGCCACCCUGGGACUGGGAUACGGCCCAGACUCCUACGGGAGGCAGCAGUGGGGAAUAUUGCACAAUGGGCGCAAGCCUGAUGCAGCGACGCCGCGUGAGGGAUGACGGCCUUCGGGUUGUAAACCUCUUUCAGCAUCGACGAAGCGAAAGUGACGGUAGGUGCAGAAGAAGGACCGGCCAACUACGUGCCAGCAGCCGCAGUAA
rnacentral:rRNA from 1 species